rnacentral:rRNA from 1 species
AUUGAACGCUGGCGGCAGGCCUAACACAUGCAAGUCGAACGGUAACAGGAAGCAGCUUGCUGCUUCGCUGACGAGUGGCGGACGGGUGAGUAAUGUCUGGGAAACUGCCUGAUGGAGGGGGAUAACUACUGGAAACGGUAGCUAAUACCGCAUAACGUCGCAAGACCAAAGAGGGGGACCUUCGGGCCUCUUGCCAUCGGAUGUGCCCAGAUGGGAUUAGCUAGUAGGUGGGGUAACGGCUGACCGAGGCGACGAUCCAUAGCUGGUCUGAGAUGAUGACCAGCCACACUGGAACUGAGACACGGUCCAGGCGCCUACGGGAGGCAGCAGUGGGGAAUAUUGCACAAUGGGCGCAAGCCUGAUGCAGACAUGCCGCGUGUAUGAAGAAGGCCUUCGGGUUGUAAAGUACUUUCAGCGGGGAGGAAGGCGAUAAGGUUAAUAACCUUGUCGAUUGACGUUACCCGCAGAAGAAGCACCGGCUAACUCCGUGCCAGCCGCCGCUGUAA